CAAGCAUGUAGCCUGGGAUGAUUCACCUGUAGGCAUUGAAAUCUACAUUUUGUCCACCAAAAUGGUUAUGAAUGCUGUAACAUGGCAAAUGAGUUGAAAUUACCCCAGACUGUGAUCAGCUAGAGCAUUUACUACUGAUAGGAUCAUCCUUCUAAUGGUUAAUAAGUUGUAGCUGAAGCUGAUAGAGCUACGCACAACUAUCGUUGUCUGGGAUCACUCUUCUGUAAUCUCUGCAGGUUCCUCUGCAAAAGGCUAAUCCUAAAUUUAAGCAGGUCAAAACAGAAAAGCCCAUCUGGACUUGGAAGAAAACGUUUUUGGUACGCAUGGUCAAGCUGCUUCUAUAUGAAAUCCUGGCUAGAUUCUGCAACUGAAGUGCUGCAUUAAUCUCCCCUUUUUUAGCAGUGAUAAUAACAUGCUAAUAAAAACAUGUGAUGAGAGACUUGUAUUAUUUAG
rnacentral:lncRNA from 1 species